rnacentral:rRNA from 1 species
ACCGUUGAGAAAGGUUCAGUUAUUUUGAAGUCCCAAACCGUCUUCUUUUAAGUUACGAGGUCAUCUCCCUAAGGGAUAAAUUUUUCCCGACGUGAUCAAGUACAAAACGUGUACCACCGAAGACUAAACCGAGUUAACCACUCAAAAGACUGCACGGACUAUAACAGAUCCUUCAUAGUGUACUUUAAUUGUUUUGUUCACAAAAGACUGGACAAUAAACGUGAAAACCUCAGACAAGACACCACAGAGGUACAGACUCAUCUAAUAAAGAAUUAAAAGGUACAUUUCUCAAGUUCACAAUACGUUCAAAACUAGUCCACUACGACCUUAACUGUUCGACGUUCUAACCGGCUGUCAACAGACAAAAUGAGGUGCAAACACUACCGACUACUAUGGUUCAAGGAGGAAAACAAGGAGGAGAACUCGUCGAGUAGUGACACAAAACCAUGACUUGUUCUAUAGGCCACGGACUUCAGACAUGUUGCGAGUAACCGACUAGGGCCGCCACAAGAGUCUAGAACCCUGAAACUUUUACUGUGGCUGCCAAUGUAUACGGCGAAAUGGCCACACCUUACGACCGUGGGACUGCUCUUGUUCUAAGAGAGAGACGCUGAUCCGUUGGAUCCUGAAGUUCCGGUUAAAGGACAACGAGAUGUCUUAACAAGUUCGGACUGGCCGAACCUGGACAGUUUAUUGUUAAAAAGUCCUGGUUAGGGAGUCCUGUAAAGUGCCGCCUACGGCAUAGACUGUAGAGACCUAGAAAGCAUAUUAUCGAAAAGCCCCGAUUAGGGUGUCUUAUAGAGUUUAUACUGUAUAGACUUAGAGGAGUUGGAGGUCGUAUUGGUUGAGUCGCCAGUUUAAGGUAGCGUUAAGUCAAACGAAUGAGCCAAUUGAUGCAAGUUACAACGCCCGUUGAACAAUAGUCCCGGACAAGGAUGAAACGAUGUCUUCAAAAGCAGAAGUUUGAAACGACCAUUGGUUCCCGAAACACCAAGUGGAAAUCUACUCACGAGGUGGGGAGCCUCCUCUACCUCUGGCUAUGCUUAGUCCGACGUGUCCUAGUUGCUGGUCAGCUCGUAGCCUCGCCGGCAGCCUAAGCAGCACCCCAAGCACCACCGGAAGAUGAAGGGCGUGACGAAGCAGACGAGGCUCUCCGAGGCUCGGAUGCAGCAGGCCUAUACUAAGUGAACAAUAAGACUUUGAAACAGACCGUAUCGAUGGGGGCUCCGGUUUACUCGUGAAGGCCGUCAUGUAGAAAGAAUCGAACAAGGGACGUCAUUGCUAAAAGAAUUAAGCGUACUAUUACGUAUACAGUUGAUAAGAUCUUUCUCCGUUCUGUAGUUGACCGGCAUUAAUAAAUACAUGGUACAGCUGUAAAGACUUCCUUGUGUCACUUUGAGAUGUAAAGACAUCACAAAAAGACAGGUAAAGGUACGAAACGGGAAGAACUUGCGUACGUGUGGAUAGCAGAAAAAUGAUCCUUCUAAAAGGGUUCUCUCAUGAGGACUUUCCGAAACGGUUGGUUCGACCUAUGGAAGUGCACAAGGCCACUUUUAAGAAACCUCUGGCCUCCGAGAACUGCGUUCGGUCCCUACGGUUCCUACACGUCUUACAGGGUGUUUUUUCAUCCUACACGUCUUACUUGACCGUCCUCUUACGUGGACGACGGAAACAACCAGACAAGUAGUAACCCACCAUUGUCACAGCCUUUUGUUGAGUAUACUCACAGGUUUUCCUCCUCGAACACAUGUAAGACCACACAUAACUUUUACAGAGGAUCUAAGUUUGUUCUUUUCAAACACUUUUACCAAGGUCCCGAACUCCCUUGACUACUCCUAAAUACACUAGAACAAGUACGAAAUGAUUCGGGCCAUAGUUACCCUUUACCAUUACAUGUCAAAAAAAACAGUUAAACCAGGGAGGUGAUAACUAAUUCAAAACAAAAUCAGGGGUCAAAUUUUCUUUUAAACUUGGUAUUGAACACU